rnacentral:rRNA from 1 species
CAGUAGCCGCGGUAAUACGAAGGGUGCAAGCGUUAAUCGGAAUUACUGGGCGUAAAGCGUGCGUAGGCGGUGAGUUAAGUCUGCUGUGAAAUCCCCGGGCUCAACCUGGGAAUGGCAGUGGAUACUGGCUCGCUAGAGUGUGUCAGAGGAUGGUGGAAUUCCCGGUGUAGCGGUGAAAUGCGUAGAGAUCAGGAGGAACAUCAGUGGCGAAGGCGGCCAUCUGGGACAACACUGACGCUGAGGCACGAAAGCGUGGGGAGCAAACAGGAUUAGAUACCCCUGUAGUCCCUGUCUCUUAUAC